CCCCUCUCAACCCCAGCAGUUCUGGCCUUUAUUUUCUUGUUCUGGCCUUGCUAAAUACCAAGCAUGGUGUUCAAAAAAAUGACAGAAAACAAUGGCACUGUUCUCAGACACCUUAAGGCACAAUGGAACAGAGACACAGGUCCACUGGAUUUUGACAUUCCUCAGGAGAUAUCAGAGUUAUGCAGGAAUGCAUAAUCCACAAACUGCCAAGGAGAAACAUCAAGAAGAUUCAGAAGCUGAGCUAAUUCAAGUCUUACCCUGUUAGAC